rnacentral:rRNA from 1 species
CUGGAAUCGCUAGUAAUCGCGGAUCAGCACGCCGCGGUGAAUACGUUCCCGGGCCUUGUACACACCGCCCGUCACACCAUGGAAGUCUGCAAUGCCCGAAGCCGGUGGCCUAACCACUUAUGUGGAAGGAGCCGUCUAAGGCAGGGCAGAUGACUGGGGUGAAGUCGUAACAAGGUAGC